UACAGAGGUGGCAAGCGUUGUUCGGAAUUACUGGGCGUAAAGGGCGCGUAGGCGGCCCCCGCAAGUCGACUGUGAAAUCUCCGGGCUUAACCCGGAAAGGUCAGCCGAUACUGCGGGGCUAGAGUGCAGAAGGGGCAACUGGAAUUCUCGGUGUAGCGGUGAAAUGCGUAGAUAUCGAGAGGAACACCUGCGGCGAAGGCGGGUUGCUGGGCUGACACUGACGCUGAAGCGCGAAAGCUAGGGGAGCGAACGGG
rnacentral:rRNA from 1 species